CAAGAAUGAUUAAGCAAGAUAGUAAAUUUGAGGUAUCAUCAUAAAUAUUCAAAUAUUGUAUGCUACCUGGCAUUACCAUUAACUUUAAUUUUACAUCUCGGAACACUGGUAGUUUCCAGUACCAAGAUAGGGACUCAAAAAUUAGUUAAUCAUGAUUUGCCAAAGAACCUUAAAAGUCAAUACAUGAGGUUGUUUUGUCAAGUAGCUGGUUGGAGAUCAUUGGAAUUAAGAACGCUAAAAGCAGCUCAGAUGUAAUGCUAAUGAUCUGUAAUAAAAUCAGGCUUUUCAAGGCUGCAGUGUAUAUCUUUUAUGAAAAUUCAGGGGAUUUCAAUAAGAAGCAGAUGUGUCAUCACAAAUGUCUGAAAGUCACUCUUCAUCAUCAUUUUGUUGUUUUUUUUCUCUCCUCUUUAGUGCUUUAAUUAUCUAAUGCUGUAAAUUACUGAAUUACCAGAUCUUCCCAUGUCUAGUCUUCUGAAGAUGUCAAGCCGCAUAAAACUGAAAAUGUUAUUCCUUCUUCUCAGAUAUGACUUGUGUGAACAGAUGUGACGGUUGGGAGGAUGUCACACCAUGGAACAAUGUCUAUAGUUUUGGAAACUUUGCAUCUAUUUCUAUUUCAGAACUUGCACUUGGACUUUACAGGUCCUUUUUUGCUGACACAUAGAGCUCCAGCGCAUUUUAAGUGUAAUUGCAGUUCUCCCUACCAUUUAGGAAAGCUGAACAUUGUUAAAGGUUUGUAAAUUACCUACACUUAGGCCAUAGACAACUAGGCAAAUUAAAUGGCAGUGUCAGUAAUAUUACAAUGCAAAUUGGUGCCAAGCAGAAGCCAAGGUAGAAGCAUUUUAAUGUAGAACACUGUUUAUGAAGCAUCUCAAAAAUGCAACAAAAAACACAGAUAACGCCAAACUUGCAAACGUGCAUGUCCCCAAUACCUGAAAAACUAGGAUAUACACACAUACAGGACAUAGUUUACACAGCCACCAACUAUCCAAAGCAGUACGUGCAUUUUUUCACACACGUAUUUUGAGCA
rnacentral:lncRNA from 1 species